rnacentral:rRNA from 1 species
AGAUUGAACGCUGGCGGCAUGCUUUACACAUGCAAGUCGAACGGUAACAGGCCGCAAGGUGCUGACGAGUGGCGAACGGGUGAGUAAUGUAUCGGAACGUGCCCAGUCGUGGGGGAUAACGCAGCGAAAGCUGCGCUAAUACCGCAUACGAUCUAUGGAUGAAAGCGGGGGACCGUAAGGCCUCGCGCGAUUGGAGCGGCCGAUAUCAGAUUAGGUAGUUGGUGGGGUAAAGGCUCGACCAAGCCAACGAUCUGUAGCUGGUCUGAGAGGACGACCAGCCACACUGGGACUGAGACACGGCCCAGACUCCUACGGGAGGCAGCAGUGGGGAAUUUUGGACAAGUGGGCGCAAGCCUGAUCCAGCAAUGCCGCGUGCAGGAAGAAGGCCUUCGGUUGUAACUGCUUUUGUACGGAACGAAACGGUCCUAGGUUAAUACCGUGGGCUAAGUGACGGUACCGUAAGAAUAAGCACCGGCUAACUACGU